GACGAACGCUGGCGGCGUGCCUAAUACAUGCAAGUAGAACGCACAGUUUAUACCGUAGCUUGCUCCACCAUAGACUGUGAGUUGCGAACGGGUGAGUAACGCGUAGGUAACCUGCCUGGUAGCGGGGGAUAACUAUUGGAAACGAUAGCUAAUACCGCAUAAUAUUGAUUAUUGCAUGAUAAUUAAUUGAAAGGUGCAAUUGCACCACUACCAGAUGGACCUGCGUUGUAUUAGCUAGUAGGUGAGGUAACGGCUCACCUAGGCGACGAUACAUAGCCGACCUGAGAGGGGGAUCGGCCACACUGGGACUGAGACACGGCCCAGACUCCUACGGGAGGCAGCAGUAGGGAAUCUUCGGCAAUGGACGAAAGUCUGACCGAGCAACGCCGCGUGAGUGAAGAAGGUUUUCGGAUCGUAAAGCUCUGUUGUAAGAGAAGAACGGGUGUGAGAGUGGAAAGUUCACACUGUGACGGUAUCUUACCAGAAAGGGACGGCUAACUACGUG
rnacentral:rRNA from 1 species